rnacentral:rRNA from 1 species
CACGUAGGGGGCGAGCGUUGUCCGGAUUUACUGGGCGUAAAGAGCGCGUAGGCGGCACGGUAAGCGGCAGGUGAAAUUCCGGUGGCUCAACCCCGGACCUGCUUGCCGAACUGCCGAGCUUGAGUGCGGGAGAGGGAAGCGGAAUUCCUGGUGUAGCGGUGAAAUGCAUAGAUAUCAGGAGGAACACCCGUGGCGAAGGCUGCUUCCUGGAACGCAACUGACGCUGAGGCGCGAAAGCUGGGGGAGCGAA